rnacentral:rRNA from 1 species
CGGGUACAACGAGUCGCAAGCUCGCGAGAGUAAGCUAAUCUCUUAAAGCCGUUCUCAGUUCGGACUGUAGGCUGCAACUCGCCUACACGAAGUCGGAAUCGCUAGUAAUCGCGGAUCAGCAUGCCGCGGUGAAUACGUUCCCGGGCCUUGUACACACCGCCCGUCACACCAUGGGAGUUUGUAACGCCCAAAGUCGGUGGCCUAACCCUUAUGGAGGGAGCCGCCUAAGGCGGGACAGAUGACUGGGGUGAAGUCGUAACAAGGUAAC